rnacentral:rRNA from 1 species
CCUACGGGUGGCAGCAGUGAGGAAUAUUGGUCAAUGGGCGUAAGCCUGAACCAGCCAAGUCGCGUGAGGGAUGAAGGUUCUAUGGAUCGUAAACCUCUUUUAUAAGGGAAUAAAGUGUGGGACGUGUCCUAUUUUGUAUGUACCUUAUGAAUAAGGAUCGGCUAACUCCGUGCCAGCAGCCGCGGUAAUACGGAGGAUCCGAGCGUUAUCCGGAUUUAUUGGGUUUAAAGGGUGCGUAGGCGGCCUUUUAAGUCAGCGGUGAAAGUCUGUGGCUCAACCAUAGACUUGCCGUUGAAACUGGGGGUCUGGAGUAGGAGAGAGGCAGGCGGAAUGCGUGGUGUAGCGGUGAAAUGCUUAGAUAUCACGCAGAACCCCGAUUGCGAAGGCAGCCUGCCGGGCCAUGACUGACGCUGAGGCACGAAAGCGUGGGGAUCGAACAGGAUUAGAUACCCUGGUAGUC